rnacentral:rRNA from 1 species
UACGUAGGGGGCGAGCGUUGUCCGGAUUUAUUGGGCGUAAAGAGCGUGUAGGCGGCCAGGUAGGUCUGCUGUGAAAACUCGAGGCUCAACCUCGAGACGUCGGCGGAAACCAUCUGGCUAGAGUCCGGAAGAGGAGAGUGGAAUUCCAGGUGUAGCGGUGAAAUGCGUAGAUAUCUGGAAGAACACCAGUGGCGAAGGCGCUCUACUGGGCCGUAACUGACACUGAGGGACGAAAGCUAGGGGAGCGAAAGGG